GCUGGGGAGGGAGGGGAAGAGAGGGGAAGGGAGGAAGAAGUGCCGGCUUCCUCGGCUCCGCCCUCGCGGACCGAUUCCUAGACUCGCCCACUCCUUGUAAACUACGCGGACUUGGUCUUUCACCCUUCCUGUUCCUCCCCGCCGCCUUCCCGGUCCAACGAAAGUACAGAGAAGUGCGGCCGAAAGGAGACGGGCUGGGGAAGUCGUUGGCACUAGGAUGGAAGGAGGGAGGACGUUUUCUCGUGGCUAAGAAAAGCCGAAGGUCCGUGGACUCAUUUUCCUUGAAGGAGCGGAAGGGUUGCUUGCAGACCGCACGGUGACGUCAGCGUCUCUGGGCCCCCACUGAGGGGGCGUGCGGUGGCCGGAGAGUGCGCUGCGCAUGCGCCUGGGGAAGAAAGAAGCGGCCGAGCGCUGCGCUUGGGGGAGGGGAUUUCACGAUCCGCUCCUGUGGUCCAGCUUUACAGCAGCUUGGUUUUAUCUAGCCCUACUCGUCCCCAGGCUCUUAGAAGGAUUCACUGGGAAGGGGCUACUGAUCUCUUGGGUGGAGAUCUUGCAGAUUUGUUGACCUAGCAAAGUAUUACGUGUUCUUACCGUUGACAUGUAAAUAGAAUUGCGGUUUUUCUCACUGCCACAUUGUGUGGGUGGAGGGAGAUUCUAAAGGGUUUUAGGAAUCGGAAAAUUAGGGAGAAUCAAAUCAUGGGUGCUUAAGGCCUCAGUGAAACACUGUAAAUUAUACUGCUGACGGCGAGGAACCUGCUUGGCAAUGUGGCAAGGGGAUUUUAUCCACUCAACCAACACGUCUGAGUAUUUCCGAAUAGGUUUUAUUACCAGGUGCUUAAAGAAUGUGUGGUGACAUAAAUGGGUUUUAUUUGGGGUUCUGUUAGUACAAACGGUAACUUUUUGCUAUUUUGAUUGUUUUAAUUAUUUAAAAAUAUGUAGUAUUACAGAGUUUUGAAAGAGGAAGAGCUAGAUCUCAACCAUUUAUAGAAGUCUCGUUUGUUUUUUCCAUUUGUUUUUUAUAUAGUUAUUUUAACUGUCAGUGAAAAAAUAUGUGUUGAGUUUAUUUAGUGGCCAGACUCAGCAAACUGGAAGUAGCCAAGACAGACAUAGCUCCUGCCUUCAUGGAGUUUACAGUCCAAACAGAGGAUAACCAUUGAGCUAAUUAUCACUAUGUAAAAUUACCAAGUACAUUUACUUGUUUACUUGUGCAUGUAUCCCCUCCCUAGAAUAUAAGGUCGCAGGCGGCAGGGAUCUUGCAUGUUUCACCCUCUAUCCCUGUGUAUAAAAGGCUCUCAAUAUUUGACCAAGUAAACAAUUCUGGUAUUAAAACCGUUAAGAUGGAAAAUCGCCGGCUGCUGUGGAAACGCUUGCCUUUCCGCCUGGUUUGGGAUAUCAGAGAAGGUUUUUCUGAAGAAGUGACAUUUAAGAUGAGACUUGAAACCACUGGGCAAAGAAUGAUACAAGCAGAGGAAGUUAUGUGAAAAGGCUCCGAAGCUGAGACGUUCUAAAAAUCUCUGAAAGCUAGUGUGGCUGGCCCUCAGACAACUGAGGCAGGAUGUGGAAGCAGAGGACAGAUGCCAUAGAACAGAAGAAGGAAUGGGAAGCCCUAGGAGGAUUUCAAGUGGGUUGUAUCCUUUUUUUUUCUUUUUUUCACUUCAUGUAGCCUAUUAUUAUAUGGUCUUCAUUCAAAAAAGCCACCAUUUUUCUGCAUGUUACUCUUGAGACUGUAGCAUUUCUGCAUAAUACUAUUGAGAGUGUAACAUAAUUCCAUUGUUAGACCAUGAAAUUGCUUCUGAUUUUCACUCCAAUAAGAAUAAUGCAAAUUCCACUCCUAAAUAUAUACCCAAGAGAAAGGAAAAUAUUUGUCCAUGCAAAAACUUUUUUACAAACGUUAGCAUUAUUCAUAAUAGCCAAAGAUGAAACAACCUAAAUGUUCAUCAGCUGGCGCCUGUAUAAAUCAAAUGUGAUACAUCUAUGUACAAUCAAAUUUUUAUUUUUAAGAGAUGGGGUCUGGCUCCGUGGCGCAGAUGGGGGUGCCAUGAGACUUCCUAUGUUGUCCAGGCUGGUCUCAAACUCCUGGCCUCUAGCAAUUCUCCCUCCUUAGCCUGAAAGUGAUGGGAUUACAGGCAUGAGCCGUCACACCGACCUAUACAAUGGAAUCUUAUUGGGCCAUAAAAAGAAAAUACUAAUACAUGCUAUAACAUGCAUAACCUUUGAAAGCAGUAUGCUAAAUGAAAGAAGCCAGUCACAAAAGACCACAUAUUAUAUGAUUCCACUUACGUGAAUGUCCAGAAUAGGCAAAUAUAUAGAGACAGAAAGUAAGGAAGUGGUUGCUUAGGGCUAGGGGCAGGCAUGGGAUUAGGGGAUGAUAGUUAAAUGAUAUGGGGGUUUCUUUCUUUUUUUCUUUUCUUUUUUUCUUUUUUUUUUUUUUGGAAACAGGGCCUUGCUCUGUCCCCCAGGCUGCAGGCUGGAGUGCAAUGGUGUGAACAUGACUCACUGUAGCCUUGACCUCCAGGAUCAAGCAAUCCUCCUGCCUCAGCCUCCUGUGUAGCUGGAACCACAGGCGCAUGCCUCCAUGCCCAACUGAUUUUUUGAAGGUUUCUUUUUGAGGUGAGAAAAAUGUUCUGAGAUUGAUUGUGUUGAUGGUUGCGCAACUGUGAAUAUUUAGGUUGAGUAUUAUCCAAAAUAUUUGAGACCAGAAGUAUUUUGAAUUUUAAACU
rnacentral:lncRNA from 1 species